CAAGACAAAACAACAACAAUGAACAACAUCAUCAUCCUCAUCUGGACUCUCACACUGUUUGCUCAAGAGUGUAGAGGACAGAUCACUGUAACUCAGAGUCCAUCAAUAACAGCAGCUCAACCAGGACAAGAAGUCAGAAUAAACUGUAAAACCAGCAGUAAUGUGUGGAAUGGUAAUGAGUUACACUGGUAUUUACAGAAACCUGGAGAAGCUCCUAAACUCCUCAUAUAUGCUGCAACAAGCCGUUACACUGGAACUCCAUCUAGAUUCAGUGGCAGUGGAUCUAACAGUGAUUUCACUCUGACCAUCAGUGGAGUCCAGACUGAAGAUACAGGAGAUUAUUACUGUCUGAGUUACCACUACAUCAACAGUAAAGAUGUGUUCACACAGUGAUAAAGAGUCGUACAAAAACCUCCGUCAGUCAGAGUCACAGUG